CACGUAGGGCGCGAGCGUUGUCCGGAAUUAUUGGGCGUAAAGAGCUCGUAGGCGGCCUGUUGCGUCCGCUGUGAAAGCCCGGGGCUUAACCUGGGAACUGCGUCGGAUACUGGUUGGCUUGAAUUCGGGAGAGGGAUGCAGAAUUCCAGGUGUAGCGGUGAAAUGCGUAGAUAUCUGGAGGAAUACCGGUGGCGAAGGCGGCAUCCUGGACCGACAUUGACGCUGAACGGCGAAAGCUAGGGGAGCAAACGGG
rnacentral:rRNA from 1 species